rnacentral:rRNA from 1 species
CAAUAGCGUAUAUUAAAGUUGUUGCAGUUAAAAAGCUCGUAGUUGGAUUUGUGGCGUGCGGUGUGUUCCGGGCACUUGUUGUCUGAGUAACCUGCCGCUGCCAUCCUUGGGUGGAACCUGUGUGGCAUUAGGUUGUCGUGCAGGGGAUGCCCAUCAUUUACUGUGAAAAAAUUAGAGUGUUCAAAGCAGGCUUAUGCCGUUGAAUAUAUUAGCAUGGAAUAAUGAGAUAGGACUUUUUUGCUAUUUUGUUGGUUUGCGCAAAGAGGUAAUGAUUAAUAGGGACAGUUGGGGGUAUUCGUAUUCCAUUGUCAGAGGUGAAAUUCUUGGAUUUUUGGAAGACGAACUACUGCGAAAGCAUUUACCAAGGAUGCUUUCAUUAA